GAUGGUGAUUCUAUCUUUAAGAGCCUGGGAAAUGCGAAAAUGGCUAAGUGAGGAAAGGAAAGUAAAGGCACGGGGAGGACGAUGAAGGUAGAGAGGUGUACCUUAGGGACGGUAGUAAGGGUGGCCAUGGAAUUGGUUUGGGAUUUGAAGUGAUUAGCAAGUGUAUGACCAAUGGUCGCUGGAGAUCUCUGAUGGUCACCGAAAAUCAUCGACUGUCGCCCUUCACCCGAAAAGAAAGAGGAAGUAAGGUAUGGUGGUGUGAGAAGAUGAACUGGUGGGGAUGAAGAAGAUGAUAGUUGUAAACUUAUAAACUCAUCUGAGAGGGUAAAUGCGGUAUCUCAUCCGUCGUCUGCAUGAAACUCGAAGAGCUAUUACCCCCAGAUGCUUUUUCAGGCAAUCAUGAUUGAGGAGAUUCCGGAAUAGAAAAUAUUUUGUUACUCGGUGAUUGGUAAAUAUCGGCAUUUUCCUAGGGAAGGUAAUUAUGGCUGAGAUAAUUUUGGAGCAAAAGAUAAGUUUUACUCCAAAACUGGGGGGCAUGUGUUGACACCAUUUUUUGACAUAUGUCAAAGAUGGCGUCAAAAGGAAGCAGAGAUGCCAGCGCAUAGUGGAAGGACAACGUCUAGUGGAAUCGGCAGGUAAGGUUGCCGAGGGUUUAGCCGAUAGAGUAAGGCAGAAGCCUAGCCUAUGGGAUCACAAGGGUGUAGCUAAUAGGAGAUGAUGGAGGUGUAGCCGAUGGAGUCAGCCGAUGCGAGAAGGAGGGUUCUAGCCGAUUGGAAAUUUUGGAGGUUCGACCGAUGAGAAGAAGGUUUUGGCCGGUAGAGGCCAAGUUCGUUUCCGACUCCUGCGCAAGUCAUUUUUAUUUAGAAAGUUUGUUUCUGUAGAGAUAGAUCUUAUGAUUUGUCGUAACCGACUAGGAUUAGAAAUCUUGAUGUAUAGGAUACAAAUAGGGGUCUUGUAAGGUCUGGAAAGAC
rnacentral:lncRNA from 1 species